UACGAAGGGGGCUAGCGUUGCUCGGAAUCACUGGGCGUAAAGCGCACGUAGGCGGAUUGUUAAGUCAGGGGUGAAAUCCUGGAGCUCAACUCCAGAACUGCCUUUGAUACUGGCGAUCUUGAGUCCGGGAGAGGUGAGUGGAACUGCGAGUGUAGAGGUGAAAUUCGUAGAUAUUCGCAAGAACACCAGUGGCGAAGGCGGCUCACCUGGCCCGGUACUGACGCUGGAGGUGCGGAAAGCGUGGGGAGCAAACAGGGAUUAGAAACCCUGAGUACGUA
rnacentral:rRNA from 1 species